GGGUAUUGAUGAACUUAUAAAACAUAAAAAUGCUAGAGUGAUUUAUUUGGAUCCUUCAUAUGAUUGAUCUUAUUGCUUGUAUUUUAGAUUAGCUACCUAGAAACAUAAACAAAGGAUAAUCGACAAUUACAAAAGUGGGUUCAACUCCUAAAACUAAUCCUGCUGAGCUAUGUUGUUAAAUGCAUACGAGAACUGUUUACAUAAUUUAGUGAAUAAAUCGAUUUGAAUGUUAAUGCGUGUCUAAAAGAAGUAAAAUUGACACUCUUCC
rnacentral:lncRNA from 1 species